CACCAGGCCGGCCGGGUGACCGUAAGGCAACGAUCGGCGCUGAUGGCAGCCAAGAGGAGGACGCUGGAAUACAUGUUGAGCACCGCCAACGCCGGGAAGAGUUUGCAACCGAAGUCGCCCAAAGGCCACCGGUGGUCGCCGGCUACCGGGAUGGCAAGGAAAGGCAAAGCGGCGCAGCAGAGGAGGUCGGCCACGGCCAGGUGGAGGAACCAGACGGCGGGGACGGCGCGGUGUUGCGCCGCGGAGCUCAGCCAAAGCACCGCCGCGUUGCCGGGGACGCCGAGAAGGAAGAUGGCGGCGUAAAGAGCCAAGGCCGCGCGGUGACCCCACGGGAUGUGGGGAUGGUGGACGUCCGAGCCGGAGGGGUCGAAGGUGAAGUUGGAGAGGUCGUCGUAAUCCGGGGCCGAGGUGGAGGGCGGCCAGAGCACGGGGGAGGUCAUUAGGGUAAUUAGGGUAAUGAGGGUAACGAGGUUAAUGAGGUUAAUGGGGGAGUCGGUGGGUGGUGGUUGGGGUCGAUGCCGAACUCAACGCCGAUGGUGUGGGUGAUGGGCAACGAGUUGGGGUGGAAGCUUGGGUCAACGAAGCUCGUUAGGUUAAUGAGGCUCGUUAGCUUGAUGAGGCUCGUUAGGUUGAUGACACUCGUUAGGUUGAUGACACUCGUUAGGUUAACGAUGUUGAUUAGGUUAAUGAGGGAGUGCUGGUGGUUGGGGUCAAUACCGAACUCAACGCCGAUGGUGUGGAUGAUGGGCAACGAGUUGGGGUGGAAACUUGUUGGGUCAAUGAAGCUCGUUAGGUUAAUGAGGCUCGUUAGGUUGAUGACACUCGUUAGGUUGAUGAGGCUCGUUGGGUUAACGAGGGACUGUUGUUGUUAGGGGUCAACGCAACCUCAACGCUGUGGCCAAUGGGCUCCAAGUUGUGCUGGAAGCUCGCUGGGUCAACGAAGCUCGUUAGGUUAAUGAGGCUCGUUAGGUUGAUGAGGCUCGUUAGGUUGAUGACACUCGUUAGGUUGAUGAGGCUCGUUCGAUGAUGUUAAUGAGGCAGUGGUGGUGGUAGAGGUCCACACCAACAGGGUGGACAAUGAGUUCCAAGUUGGGUUUGAAGCUUCUUGGGCCAACGAAGCUCGUUAACGAAGUUCUUGAAUUAAUGAAGUUCGUUAGGUUGAUUACACUCCUUGGCUUAAUCACACUCGUUUGGUUAACGAGCUCGUUAGCUUAACGAGGGAGUGGUGUCCUUAGGAGUCCAUGCCCACCUCCGUCCCAGUGGGUUCCAAGUUGUUUGGAAGCUCGUUGGGACAACGAAGUUCGUUAAGUUAAUGAGGCUGCUUGGCUUAAUGACGCUCGUUAGCUUAACGAGUUUUGCUAGGUUAACGAGGGAGGGGUGGUGGGAGAGACCCACGGCAACCUCAACGCCCACGGUGUGGCUGAUGGGCAACCAGUAGGGUGGAAGCUCGUUAGGUUAACGAAGCUCGUUAGGUUAACGAAGCUCGUUAGGUUAACGAAGCUCGUUGGGUUAACGAAGCUCGUUAGGUUAACGAAGCUCGUUGGGUUAACGAGGUUUUGGGCUGCAAAAGGGGAAAAAUAUGGGUGAGCUGUGGGGCAGCAGCAAAGGGUGGGAAUGGGGGGGGAUAUGGGGCACGGAGCUGUGGGGCUGCCCCAUAAGUGCCUCCCCCAACC
ensembl:lncRNA